UACAGAGGGGGCAAGCGUUGUUCGGAAUUACUGGGCGUAAAGGGCGCGUAGGCGGCCUUCUAAGUCGAACGUGAAAUCCCCGGGCUCAACCCGGGAACUGCGUCCGAUACUGGAAGGCUUGAAUCCGGGAGAGGGAUGUGGAAUUCCAGGUGUAGCGGUGAAAUGCGUAGAUAUCAGGAGGAACACCGGUGGCGAAGGCGGAUCUCUGGGCCAUUACUGACGCUGAGGAGCGAAAGCGUGGGGAGCGAACAGG
rnacentral:rRNA from 1 species